AAUAUUGGACAAUGGGCGAAAGCCUGAUCCAGCCAUGCCGCGUGUGUGAUGAGGGCCUUCGGUUUGUAAAGCACUUUAAGUUGGGAGGAAGGGUUGUAGGUUAAUACCCUGCAAUUUUGACGUUACCAACAGAAUAAGCACCGCCUAACUUCGUGCCAGCACCCGCGGUAAUACGAAGGGUGCAAGCGUUAAUCGGAAUUACUGGCCGUAAAGCGCGCGUAGGUGGUUCGUUAAGUUGGAAGUGAAAGCCCCGGGCUUAACCUGGGAAUUGCUUUCAAAACUGACAAGCUAGUGUACGGUAGAGGGUAGUGGAAUUUCCUGUGUAGCGGUGAAAUGCGUAGAUAUAGGAAGGAACAUCAGUGGCGAAGGCGACUACCUGGACUGAUACUGACACUGAGGUGCGAAAGCGUGGGGAGCAAACAGG
rnacentral:rRNA from 1 species